AUUGAACGCUGGCGGCAGGACUAACACAUGCAAGUCGAACGAGUGGCGGAAGGGUGAGUAAUGUCUGGGCAACUGACCGAUGGAGGGGGAUAACUACUGGAAACGGUAGCUGAAACCGCAUACCAUCGGAUGUGCCCAGAUGGGAUUAGCUAGUAGGUGGGGUAAUGGCUCACCUAGUCGACGAACCCUAGCUGGUCUGAGAGGAUGACCAGCCACACUGGACCGGAGGCACGGUCCAGACUCCUACGGGAGGCAGCAGUUGGGAAUAUUGCACAAGGGGCGCAAGCCUGAUGCAGCCAUGCCGCGUGUAUGAAGAAGGCCUUCGGGUUGUAAAGUACUUUCAGCGGGGAGGCGUUACCCGCAGAAGAAGCACCGGCUAACUCCGUGCCAGCAGCCGCGGUAAUUC
rnacentral:rRNA from 1 species